GACGAACGCUGGCGGCGUGCUUAACACAUGCAAGUCGAACGGAAAGGCCCCCACUUUUUUGGUGGGGGUGCUCGAGUGGCGAACGGGUGAGUAACACGUGGGUGAUCUGCCCUGUACUUCGGGAUAAGCUUGGGAAACUGGGUCUAAUACCGGAUAGGACCAUGGUUUAGUGUCUCAUGGUGGAAAAAUUAUUGUUUUGGUGCAGGAUGAGCUCGCGGCCUAUCAGCUUGUUGGUGGGGUAAUGGCCUACCAAGGCGUCGACGGGUAGCCGGCCUGAGAGGGUGGACGGCCACAUUGGGACGGAGAUACGGCCCAGACUCCUACGGGAGGCAGCAGUGGGGAAUAUUGCACAAUGGGCGCAAGCCUGAUGCAGCGACGCCGCGUGGGGGAUGACGGCCUUCGGGUGGUAAACUCCUUUCGUUAGGGACGAAGCCGCACCUUUUUUGGGUGUGGUGACGGUACCUUUGUUAAGAAGCACCGGCUAACUACGUG
rnacentral:rRNA from 1 species